AAAGUCGUAACAAGGUUUCCGUAGGUGAACCUGCGGAAGGAUCAUUACCAAAUCCCUUCAAUCAACAACUGUGAACCUGUAUGAGUCUUUGGGGUGUGUUUGGAAGGUGGGAAAAGCUCAAGUCUACGAUUUGUGCCAGACCCGAUUGUCCUUGCGAUACACCCCAACAGGAACUGAAUCCUUGUGGUUCACGUGCCUGAUUUGAACACCAUGUUGCAAUUUCUUGGAUUGUUUAUCGCAAUGAAAAACAAUGACAACUUUUAACGGUGGAUCUCUUGGCUCGU
rnacentral:misc_RNA from 1 species